rnacentral:misc_RNA from 1 species
GAUGAAGAACGCAGCGAAAUGCGAUAAGUAAUGUGAAUUGCAGAAUUCAGUGAAUCAUCGAAUCUUUGAACGCACAUUGCGCCCCUUGGUAUUCCGAGGGGCAUGCCUGUUCGAGCGUCAUUAUAACCCCUCAAGCUCAGCUUGGUGUUGGGGCCUGCUGCACUGGCAGCCCUUAAAAUCAGUGGCGGCGCCAUCUGGCUCUAAGCGUAGUAAUUCUUCUCGCUAUGGAGUCCUAGUGGAUGCUUGCCAUCAACCCCCAAUUUUUCUAUGGUUGACCUCGGAUCAGGUAGGGAUACCCGCUGAACUUAAGCAUAUCAAUAAGCGGAGGA